CCCUUAGAUGUUCUGGGCUGCACGCGCGCUACACUGAUGCAUCCAGCGAGUUGUACCCUUGCUUGGUAAAGUUUGGUAAUCUGAGGCUAAUGUGCAUCGUGAUGGGAAUAGAGUUUUGCAAUUUUUGGUCUUCAACGAGGAAUUCCUAGUAAUGGUGAAUCAUCAGUUCAUCGUGAUUACGUCCCUGCCCUUUGUACACACCGCCCGUCGCUCCUACCGAUUGAGCAAACCGGUGAAUAGUUUGGACCGUCGGCUUUCUUGGUUCGCCGGGUUAGCAGUACGGAAAAUUCAGUGAACCUUUUUGCUUAGAGGAAGGAGAAGUCGUAACA
rnacentral:rRNA from 1 species